CCCUUAGAUGUUCUGGGCCGCACGCGUGCUACACUGACCGGCGCAACAAGCUUCUUUCCUUGGCUCGAUAGGCCUGGGUAAUCUUUGAACGCCGGUCGUGAUGGGGAUAGAUCCUUGCAAUUUUUGAUCUUCAACGAGGAAUUCCUAGUAAAUGCGAGUCAUCAUCUCGCGUUGAUUACGUCCCUGCCCUUUGUACACACCGCCCGUCGCACCUACCGAUUGAAUGGUCCGGUGAAGCCUCGGGAUUAUGAACAAUGCCUUUGUUGGCAUUGUUUGUGAGAACUUGUCUAAACCUUAUCAUUUAGAGGAAGGUGAAGUCGUANCA
rnacentral:rRNA from 1 species